rnacentral:rRNA from 1 species
UACGUAGGGGGCAAGCGUUGUCCGGAAUCAUUGGGCGUAAAGCGCGUGUAGGCGGUUCGGUAAGUCGGCUGUGAAAGUCCAGGGCUCAACCCUGGGAUGCCGGUCGAUACUGCCGGACUAGAGUCCGGAAGAGGCAAGUGGAAUUCCCGGUGUAGCGGUGAAAUUCGUAGAUAUUCGGAAGAACACCAGUGGCGAAGGCGGCUCACUGGCCCGGUACUGACGCUGAGGUGCGAAAGCGUGGGGAGCAAACAGG